rnacentral:rRNA from 1 species
CUCGUAGGCGGUCUGUCGCGUCUGCUGUGAAAACCCGAGGCUCAACCUCGGGCCUGCAGUGGGUACGGGCAGACUAGAGUGCGGUAGGGGAGACUGGAAUUCCUGGUGUAGCGGUGAAAUGCGUAGAGAUCGGGAGGAACACCAGUGGCGAAGGCGACUUACUGGACUGUAACUGACGCUGAGGCGCGAAAGUGUGGGGAGCAAACA